AUAGGUCAGUUGGUAAAUCAUCUGCCUGCAAUGCAGGAGACCUGGGUUCAAUUCCUGGU
rfam:TPA: Bos taurus chromosome 15, whole genome shotgun sequence.